GGUUAAGCGACUAAGCGUACACGGUGGAUGCCCUGGCAGUCAGAGGCGAUGAAGGACGUGCUAAUCUGCGAUAAGCGUCGGUAAGGUGAUAUGAACCGUUAUAACCGGCGAUUUCCGAAUGGGGAAACCCAGUGUGAUUCGUCACACUAUCAUUAACUGAAUCCAUAGGUUAAUGAGGCGAACCGGGGGAACUGAAACAUCUAAGUACCCCGAGGAAAAGAAAUCAACCGAGAUUCCCCCAGUAGCGGCGAGCGAACGGGGAGGAGCCCAGAGCCUGAAUCAGUGUGUGUGUUAGUGGAAGCGUCUGGAAAGGCGCGCGAUACAGGGUGACAGCCCCGUACACAAAAAUGCACAUGCUGUGAGCUCGAUGAGUAGGGCGGGACACGUGGUAUCCUGUCUGAAUAUGGGGGGACCAUCCUCCAAGGCUAAAUACUCCUGACUGACCGAUAGUGAACCAGUACCGUGAGGGAAAGGCGAAAAGAACCCCGGCGAGGGGAGUGAAAAAGAACCUGAAACCGUGUACGUACAAGCAGUGGGAGCACGCUUAGGCGUGUGACUGCGUACCUUUUGUAUAAUGGGUCAGCGACUUAUAUUCUGUAGCAAGGUUAACCGAAUAGGGGAGCCGAAGGGAAACCGAGUCUUAACUGGGCGUUAAGUUGCAGGGUAUAGACCCGAAACCCGGUGAUCUAGCCAUGGGCAGGUUGAAGGUUGGGUAACACUAACUGGAGGACCGAACCGACUAAUGUUGAAAAAUUAGCGGAUGACUUGUGGCUGGGGGUGAAAGGCCAAUCAAACCGGGAGAUAGCUGGUUCUCCCCGAAAGCUAUUUAGGUAGCGCCUCGUGAAUUCAUCUCCGGGGGUAGAGCACUGUUUCGGCAAGGGGGUCAUCCCGACUUACCAACCCGAUGCAAACUGCGAAUACCGGAGAAUGUUAUCACGGGAGACACACGGCGGGUGCUAACGUCCGUCGUGAAGAGGGAAACAACCCAGACCGCCAGCUAAGGUCCCAAAGUCAUGGUUAAGUGGGAAACGAUGUGGGAAGGCCCAGACAGCCAGGAUGUUGGCUUAGAAGCAGCCAUCAUUUAAAGAAAGCGUAAUAGCUCACUGGUCGAGUCGGCCUGCGCGGAAGAUGUAACGGGGCUAAACCAUGCACCGAAGCUGCGGCAGCGACGCUUAUGCGUUGUUGGGUAGGGGAGCGUUCUGUAAGCCUGCGAAGGUGUGCUGUGAGGCAUGCUGGAGGUAUCAGAAGUGCGAAUGCUGACAUAAGUAACGAUAAAGCGGGUGAAAAGCCCGCUCGCCGGAAGACCAAGGGUUCCUGUCCAACGUUAAUCGGGGCAGGGUGAGUCGACCCCUAAGGCGAGGCCGAAAGGCGUAGUCGAUGGGAAACAGGUUAAUAUUCCUGUACUUGGUGUUACUGCGAAGGGGGGACGGAGAAGGCUAUGUUGGCCGGGCGACGGUUGUCCCGGUUUAAGCGUGUAGGCUGGUUUUCCAGGCAAAUCCGGAAAAUCAAGGCUGAGGCGUGAUGACGAGGCACUACGGUGCUGAAGCAACAAAUGCCCUGCUUCCAGGAAAAGCCUCUAAGCAUCAGGUAACAUCAAAUCGUACCCCAAACCGACACAGGUGGUCAGGUAGAGAAUACCAAGGCGCUUGAGAGAACUCGGGUGAAGGAACUAGGCAAAAUGGUGCCGUAACUUCGGGAGAAGGCACGCUGAUAUGUAGGUGAAGUCCCUCGCGGAUGGAGCUGAAAUCAGUCGAAGAUACCAGCUGGCUGCAACUGUUUAUUAAAAACACAGCACUGUGCAAACACGAAAGUGGACGUAUACGGUGUGACGCCUGCCCGGUGCCGGAAGGUUAAUUGAUGGGGUUAGCGCAAGCGAAGCUCUUGAUCGAAGCCCCGGUAAACGGCGGCCGUAACUAUAACGGUCCUAAGGUAGCGAAAUUCCUUGUCGGGUAAGUUCCGACCUGCACGAAUGGCGUAAUGAUGGCCAGGCUGUCUCCACCCGAGACUCAGUGAAAUUGAACUCGCUGUGAAGAUGCAGUGUACCCGCGGCAAGACGGAAAGACCCCGUGAACCUUUACUAUAGCUUGACACUGAACAUUGAGCCUUGAUGUGUAGGAUAGGUGGGAGGCUUUGAAGUGUGGACGCCAGUCUGCAUGGAGCCGACCUUGAAAUACCACCCUUUAAUGUUUGAUGUUCUAACGUGGACCCGUAAUCCGGGUUGCGGACAGUGUCUGGUGGGUAGUUUGACUGGGGCGGUCUCCUCCUAAAGAGUAACGGAGGAGCACGAAGGUUGGCUAAUCCUGGUCGGACAUCAGGAGGUUAGUGCAAUGGCAUAAGCCAGCUUGACUGCGAGCGUGACGGCGCGAGCAGGUGCGAAAGCAGGUCAUAGUGAUCCGGUGGUUCUGAAUGGAAGGGCCAUCGCUCAACGGAUAAAAGGUACUCCGGGGAUAACAGGCUGAUACCGCCCAAGAGUUCAUAUCGACGGCGGUGUUUGGCACCUCGAUGUCGGCUCAUCACAUCCUGGGGCUGAAGUAGGUCCCAAGGGUAUGGCUGUUCGCCAUUUAAAGUGGUACGCGAGCUGGGUUUAGAACGUCGUGAGACAGUUCGGUCCCUAUCUGCCGUGGGCGCUGGAGAAUUGAGGGGGGCUGCUCCUAGUACGAGAGGACCGGAGUGGACGCAUCACUGGUGUUCGGGUUGUCAUGCCAAUGGCACUGCCCGGUAGCUAAAUGCGGAAGAGAUAAGUGCUGAAAGCAUCUAAGCACGAAACUUGCCCCGAGAUGAGUUCUCCCUGACUCCUUGAGAGUCCUGAAGGAACGUUGAAGACGACGACGUUGAUAGGCCGGGUGUGUAAGCGCAGCGAUGCGUUGAGCUAACCGGUACUAAUGAACCGUGAGGCUUAACCUU
rnacentral:rRNA from 1 species